GGGAUUAUACGUCAGGGGACACAGGUUAACUGGUCAGUGUAGUGGGAUUAUACGUCAGGCGACACAGGUUAAGUGGUCAGUCUGUGGGUUUAUAGAUGAGGGGAUACAGGUUAACUGGUCAGUGUAGUGGGAUUAUACGUCAGGGGACACAGGUUAACUGGUCAGUGUAGUGGGAUUAUACGUCAGGGGACACAGGUUAACUGGUCAGUGUAGUGGGAUUAUAGAUGAGGGGAUACAGGUUAACUGGUCAGUGUAGUGGGAUUAUACGUCAGGGGACACAGGUUAACUGGUCAGUGUAGUGGGAUUAUACGUCAGGGGACACAGGUUAACUGGUCAGUGUAGUGGGAUUAUAUGUCAGGGGACACAGGUUAACUGGUCAGUGUAGUGGGAUUAUACGUCAGGCGACACAGGUUAACUGGUCAGUGUAGUGGGAUUAUACGUCAGGGCACACAGGUUAACUGGUCAGUGUAGUGGGAUUAUAUGUCAGGGGACACAGGUUAACUGGUCAGUGUCGUGGGAUUAUAGAUGAGGGGAUACAGAUAAACUGGUCAGUGUAGUGGGAUUAUACAUCAGGGGACACAGGUUAACUGGUCAGUCUGUGGGCUUAUAGAUGAGGGGACACAGGUUAACUGGUCAGUGUAGUGGGAUUAUACGUCAGGGGACACAGGUUGACUGGUCGGUCUGUGGGUUUAUAGAUGAGGGGACACAGGUUAACUGGUCAGUGUAGUGGGAUUAUACGUCAGGGGACACAGGUUAAC
ensembl:lncRNA